GCGCCCGCGGGGCUCGGGGGCCGCGCCUGACGGGGGGGGGAGGGGAGCCGCCCCCAGGAGACCGGCUGCGCCCCCACCGCGGGCCGCGGACUGGGGCGCAGAGAGAGAAUCCCGCAUAAUCUGGCCUGGGGGAGGACAGCGUGGAGCCCGCUUUCCGCUCCCUGGCGGGCUGCCCCCACCCUCCCACGGCCCCGGGAACAAUGCACCUCCGCGCGUGGGCCGGGAGGCCCCUACCCUGCCCUGCCCUAAGUCCCAGGCAGCGCCUUCCGAGGCCGACUGGCGCCUGCCACCCGCUUUUGCCCAGAGGUCCGAGGCACUAGCGGAGAGAAUGAACCCUUCCCACCUCUGGAGCGCCCGCAGACCCCAGGCCAUUCCGGGAAGGCGUCCCGCGUCCCUCUAGGAGUGUCUUCGCGCCCCUUGCGCACAAAGAGGGGACGAUCCCUUUCGGGGACGCCGCUCUCACUCCCAUCCUCCACUCCCCUGGUUCGGGGAUGCUGAGGAAGCCUCGGCUUUCUGGCCCUGUUAACCCACCCCAGUCCCGCGUGGGUCUGGCUGAAGCCUGGGCGGGGACCGGCUCCGGACCCUGCGCUCUCCCGGGUACGACCUUACAUGACACGUCCACCUCUUGUCACCUCGUUAUCCCAUAGUAGCUCCCAUCGGCUACCUCUGGGCAGGCGACGGGUGGGACGUUUGCGUCCCAAGUCCGCGCCAGGCUUUGUCUCCGUCUCCACCGCCCCCUCCCCAGAGCCUCUAUCCAGGGAACCGCCUCGUGUCAGCGCGGUUACGAGGACUGCGCUGCCCCGCAGAUUUAUUCAAAUCAAACAACUGUUGUAACGCUUUCAAGUAACCCCUCCCAGAAUACCUCGACUGCCCCAAAUACAGCUAAUGCCACCACCACCACGGCAACUGGCGGUGCUCUCCAGUCAACAGCCAGUCUCUUCGUGAUCUCACUCUCCCUUCUACAUCUCUACUGUUAAGAGACUCAGGCCAAGAAACAUCUAUACUUCCCCAUCUUCUAAACCUAAUCCAAAUGGCGUCUAGACAUCUGGUGUGACAAGGAAAAAAAACAGGUCUUCAGUGAAUCUGCUAAUUCCACACCUUAUUUUAUUGACACAGAAAAUGUUGAGGAUCCCAAAUUUGAUUGGUUUGAAGAACAUGUGAAGGGUUUGACUAGAUGAUGAAUGUCGGUUAAAUCUACUGGAGUUUCAUGUACAAGAUGAAGAGACAACAUCCAAGAUUAGUUAAGAGAUGAUUUCUUUAAAUGUGGCUUAAGAAGUAUGGACACCUAAAAUUCCACCUUGAAAAUGAGAAUAGAUUUUAUCUUACCUAGAUACAAAGGAUGGGAUGUAAACAGAAUCCGUUUCAUUUGGCUCAUUAAAUCUUUAUGGCCGUAAAACAGUUAGGUAAUACAAAAAGCUUCCAUGAUUCUAUUUAUAUGUACAUUAGAAGGAACUUCCAGGUGUCACUGUAAAUCCUCAAUGCAUUGUCUCAGCAGUACUAAUUUAAUGCCUAUGUACUCUAGAUAAAGUUUUACAUUGUUAAGCUAUCACUGUUUCUUGGGAACUGAACUCUUUCCUCUGAGGCUUUGGAUUUGACAUUGCAUUUGAUUUUUUUAUAUAGUAAUUGACAUGUGCCAGGGCAGUGAUGGAUUGGAAUCUACCCCGGAUUGAAGCAUAAUGAGUAAAUUUUGCUUACAUACUAUCACUUAGUCCUGUUCAACAAGAGUGCCAGAUUCAUUUAGCUAAACUGAUUCCAAAGAGUAGAAGAAGUACAUUGACCUCAACUAAUUUAAGAAUGCUUUGUAUUUCUGCAUAUGCUGAAUACUUUUUACGAUUUAAAAAAUGAUCUGUUUUGAAGGUAAAAUCGACAAAUCUUGAAAUUAAAAAGGCAAAAUAUGUGCCGGAGCCAAAAUUGUAAAUCAAGUAUUUGGGAAGUGAAGAUUGGAAGCUUGCUUACAUUAAAUUCGGAAAAACUUUUAUACUCUUUCUGUAAAUACUUUUUUUUUUUUUUUUAACUCUGAAUCAGAAUAGCCACAUUUGGAACGCUUUCUGUUAGUCAAUAUUUUUAGAUAGGUAGAACCUGGUCCUAAGCCUAAAGUGGGCUUGAUUCUGGAAAGUAAAUCUUUUCACAACUGCCUCGAUGCACAGAAAGCUUUUUAAAAAUAGACACUCUAAGGUCUUUUGUUCGCAUGGUCACACACCGAUGCUUAGAUGUUCCGCUAUCUAAUAUGGCCACAGUAGUCUUGAUAACCAAGGUCCUUUUUUCCCAUCUUUAGGAACCCACACCAGAAAAACUGUAUCCAGCAGAUCUCAAGCUACUGUGUGUGUGAAUGAACAUUCCGUUUUGUUUCAUACCUGAAUGCUGUACAUCUAUUUUGGAUUGUAUAUUGUGUUUGUGUAUUUAUGCUUUGAUUCAUAGUAACUUCUCAUGUUAUGGAAUUGAUUUGCAUUGAACACAAACUGUAAAUAAAAAGAAAUGGCUGAAAAAGCAA